rnacentral:rRNA from 1 species
GGGUCAGUAGGUUGGUCGUGCCACCGGUACGUACUGGUCUCACUGAUUCCUCCUUCCUGAAGCACCGUAAUGCCAUUAAUUUGGUGUUGCGGGGAAACAGGACUGUUACUUUGAAAAAAUUAGAGUGUUUAAAGCAAGCUAACGCUUGAAUACAUUAGCAUGGAAUAAUGAAAUAGGACGAUCGAUCCUAUUUUGUUGGUUUCUAGGAUUGACGUA